GACGAACGCUGGCGGCGUGCUUAACACAUGCAAGUCGAACGGUGAAGCACCUUCCUUUUGGUGGGUGUGGAUGAGUGGCGAACGGGUGAGUAACACGUGAGUAACCUGCCCCCUUCUUCUGGAUAACCGCAUGAAAGUGUGGCUAAUACGGGAUAUUCUGCGCCUGCUGCAUGGUGGGUGUGGGAAAGAUAUUGUUUCGGUGGGGGAUGGGCUCGCGGCCUAUCAGCUUGUUGGUGGGGUGAUGGCCUACCAAGGCGGUGACGGGUAGCCGGCCUGAGAGGGUGGACGGUCACACUGGGACUGAGACACGGCCCAGACUCCUACGGGAGGCAGCAGUGGGGAAUAUUGCACAAUGGGCGCAAGCCUGAUGCAGCGACGCCGCGUGAGGGAUGGAGGCCUUCGGGUUGUAAACCUCUCUCGCCAGUGAAGCAGGCCUGUCCCUUGUGG
rnacentral:rRNA from 1 species